UAGGGAAUCUUCCGCAAUGGGCGAAAGCCUGACGGAGCAACGCCGCGUGAGUGAUGAAGGUCUUCGGAUCGUAAAACUCUGUUAUUAGGGAAGAACAAAUGUGUAAGUAACUAUGCACGUCUUGACGGUACCUAAUCAGAAAGCCACGGCUAACUACGUGCCAGCAGCCGCGGUAAUACGUAGGUGGCAAGCGUUAUCCGGAAUUAUUGGGCGUAAAGCGCGCGUAGUCGGUUUUUUAAGUCUGAUGUGAAAGCCCACGGCUCAACCGUGGAGGGUCAUUGGAAACUGGAAAACUUGAGUGCAGAAGAGGAAAGUGGAAUUCCAUGUGUAGCGGUGAAAUGCGCAGAGAUAAGGAGGAACACCAGUGGCGAAGGCGACUUUCUGGUCUGUAACUGACGCUGAUGUGCGAAAGCGUGGGGAUCAAACAGG
rnacentral:rRNA from 1 species